AGGAUGAACGCUGGCGGCGUGCUUAAGACAUGCAAGUCGAACGAAAUCCUUGUAGCAAUACGGGGGUUGAGUGGCGAAUGGGUGCGUAACAUGUAGGUGACCUGCCCUGAAGCGGGGAAUAACAGUUCGAAAGGACUGCUAAUACCGCAUGUGGUUGUGGUCUUUUUGAAAGCCACAACGAAAGGUCUCCGUAAGGAGAUCACUUCAGGAGGGGCCUGCGGCCCAUCAGCUAGUUGGUAGGGUAACGGCCUACCAAGGCAACGACGGGUAGGGGACCUGAGAGGGUGACCCCCCACACUGGCACUGACACACGGGCCAGACUCCUACGGGAGGCAGCAGUCGGGAAUAUUGCCCAAUGGUCGCAAGACUGAGGCAGCAACGCCGCGUGCGCGAUGAAGGCCUUCGGGUCGUAAAGCGCUUUUCGGGUGGAUGAGGAGGACAGUACACCCGGAAUAAGGACGGCUAACUACGUGCCAGCAGCCGC
rnacentral:rRNA from 1 species